AAUAUAACAUUAUAAAGGAUGGACAUGGCUGGACUCAUAGGUGAAAAGAAAAGAACAUUCAGUAUUCUGAAAUCAGUUAACUGGAGUCUUGAAACAAUGAGUGGUAGAACAUCCACUGCGAAUAAAAUUUAUUUUGUUCACAUUUAUCAGUAAAGAUUUGUUUUUCUAUUGUAUAUGUAUUUUUAAUUCAUAUUGGAAAUUCUUCAGAGAUAGGUUGAACCUAAUAUGUUUA